rnacentral:rasiRNA from 1 species
UGAUUAGACAUUCCCGUUUCUCGCGA